rnacentral:rRNA from 1 species
UGGGGAAUAUUGGGCAAUGGGCGAAAGCCUGACCCAGCGACGCCGCGUGGGCGAUGAAGGCCUUCGGGUUGUAAAGCCCUGUCAUGCGGAAAGAACGACCCUGCGACUCAUAAUCGCAGGGAGUGACGGUACCGCAGGAGGAAGCACCGGCUAACUCCGUGCCAGCAGCCGCGGUAAUACGGAGGGUGCAAGCGUUGUUCGGAAUUAUUGGGCGUAAAGGGCGCGUAGGCGGCAGUGUAAGUCAGAUGUGAAAUACUCCGGCUCAACCAGAGAACAGCAUCUGAAACUGCACAGCUAGAGUACAGAAGAGGGAAACGGAAUUCCCGGUGUAGAGGUGAAAUUCGUAUAUAUCGGGAGGAACACCAGUGGCGAAGGCGGUUUCCUGGUCUGAUACUGACGCUGAGGCGCGAAAGCGUGGGGAGCAAACA